GAUGAACGCUGGCGGCGUGCCUAAUACAUGCAAGUCGAGCGAACAGACGAGGAGCUUGCUCCUCUGACGUUAGCGGCGGACGGGUGAGUAACACGUGGAUAACCUACCUAUAAGACUGGGAUAACUUCGGGAAACCGGAGCUAAUACCGGAUAAUAUAUUGAACCGCAUGGUUCAAUAGUGAAAGACGGUUUUGCUGUCACUUAUAGAUGGAUCCGCGCCGCAUUAGCUAGUUGGUAAGGUAACGGCUUACCAAGGCAACGAUGCGUAGCCGACCUGAGAGGAGGGUCACGCACACGGGAACGGAGACACGGCUCAGAGUCCGAAGGGAGGCACCAGCGGGGAAGAUGGGACAAGGGGUCAAAGCAUUACAAAGCUAUGCCUCGUGAGUGAAGAAGGUCUGCGGAUGUUAAAGCACUGUAAGGUGCGAGGAAGAGAAGUAAGGGAAGACCGCGCUGCUGGGACGUGACCAAAAGAAUAAGCAACGGCUAACUUCGUG
rnacentral:rRNA from 1 species